rnacentral:rRNA from 1 species
CAGUCGCCGCGGGAAAACCAACAGCCCAAGUGGUGGUCGCGAUUAUUGGGCCUAAAGCGCUCGUAGCCGGGCCGGUAAGUCCCUUGUGAAAUCGGACGGCCUAACCGUUCGGCGUGCAAGGGAUACUGUCGGUCUUGAGGCCGGGAGACGUCCGAGGUACUCCGGGGGUAGCGGUGAAAUGUUCUGAUCCUCGGGGGACCACCGGUGGCGAAGGCGUUCGACGAGAACGGGCCUGACGGUGAGGGGCGAAGGCUAGGGGAGCAAACGGGAUUAGAUACCCGUGUAGUCCCUGUCUCUUAUA